GACGAACGCUGGCGGCGUGCUUAACACAUGCCAGUCGAACGGAAGGGCCUGCUUUCCCUUGUGGAUUGCGGGUACUCGAGUGGCGAACGGGUGAGUAACACGUGAGUGAUCUGCCCCCAACUUGGGUAUAAGCCUGGGAAACUGGGUCUAAUUCCCGAUAGGACUGCAGGGUGGUGCCUGUGGUGGAAAACGAUUUUCUAGUGGUUGGGGAUGAGCUCGCGGCCUAUCAGCUUGUUGGUGGGGUAAUGGCCUACCAAGGCGGCGACGGGUAGCCGGCCUGAGAGGGUGGACGGCCACAUUGGGACUGAGAUACGGCCCAGACUCCUACGGGAGGCAGCAGUGGGGAAUAUUGCACAAUGGGCGGAAGCCUGAUGCAGCGACGCCGCGUGGGGGAUGACGGCCUUCGGGUUGUAAACUCCUUUCGACCGCGAGGAAGCCACCUGGUUGGAAGGGUGGUGACGGUAGUGGUAGAAGAAGCACCGGCUAACUACGUG
rnacentral:rRNA from 1 species